GGCAGUUUCCUGAUCUUCUGGAUAUGCUGCCACGCUGUCCCAGGGCUGGUGGUGUCCCCUGACUUGUUCCUCUCCUGACUUUCUCAGCCUGGAGACUGAAAGCUCUCUUUGGCUGUUGGCCCUCCCAGGCAGAGUCCACUGGCUGUUAGGGUGAAAUGGGGCUGAUGCUUCCUGGAAUCCACCAGAAGUAUGCAAAUUGCACCAUCUCUUUCAGCUGCCUGCGCCUGCAUUCCAUCGAGGAUUCCGGAGGCUGAGUGACUUGGGCAAUGAUUCAGCAAUACCAACUGUGAACUCUCAAUGACUUGGGCUAAUGAGAAGAAUGACAUGGAUAAUCUAAAAAUAAUGGACAACUGGAAAAAACAUCAGCCUGCUUGUGGAGCACACCAGGUCAUGAUUUCUGCAGUGGGGGAGGAGCUGAUUUGCUUCAUUCAUUCUAGAACCUCUAUUCUAGCUGAUGUUAAAUCUGGUUGUUUUUGAGAGCACUCAUAGCCAUCAUGCCCAUCUCUGUAUCACAGGGGUUUGGGAAAAGAAACUCUUCUGGCCAAGGAUGGAAGAAUAAAAACAUAACUGAGUUCCAGAUAUGCUAAUGUUUUCCACUAUUGCAUCUCUAAGAUAUCAGUAGGACCUGGAAAGGUGGCAAUGACCUCAUGGCUCCCAGGUGCUGGGGUUGCUGCAAUGGCUGGAGCUGAGAAAAACUUGAAGGUUUUAGAGAAGCUCUGCUUCCAAAUGAAGGGUGCAGAGUAAUUAAUGCCCCAAGCUACAUGGAGUGGCCAAUUGAAGAAGCUAUAAAAGUUGGAGCAGUGCAGGAAGCAACAUGCCUGGGAAAGGGGAUUUUUUUGCACUUUUUAUUGCAAUAAUGCAGGAACAUUCUAUGAAUAGAAUCCAGGGGAGCCAUCAAGUCCAUGUUCGGGUGACUGUAAGGGGAGGGAUUUUGAUCCUCUUCCGAGACAGCUGUCUUCAGGCUCAGGCACAGAUCACAUUAUUUUAUUAGAGCCUUCAGUAGUUAAGAGAAAGUUCUUGGUUGAAUUGGGAAAGGGACCUAAAAAUAACUGUAAAAUUUUGAGCUAGCUCUGCCCCUUUCUGUACUAGAUACAAUCCUGGAUGUAGAGAAUCAGAGACUUGAGGUUAAGACCUAGCUCUGGCACCAACUUGGACAAGUCACAUCACCUAUCUCCACCUAUCUCCUUCACUGUGAAAUGAGAGGAUUGGAAUAAAUGAUAUCUAAAUCUCCCCUGGCCUCCAUUGUUUCUGCUUUGUGGAUGCCGUUUUAUGGAUUGAGAAAUCAAAGUCUAUUGAUGAAAAUGAUUGCAAUGUGCAGAUUCACUUGGAACACAGAAAGACUCAGAGAGCUGGUCAGUACCAAAGGAGGUUGGAGUGCUUUGCCUUGAAUGCAAGAAAUAACGAUGUGCAAUGUCAUGGAGAAUUUUAAAACAAUAAUAGAUACAAGAAAAAGUCGGUCUGCUUUUUAUUAUCACCAUGCACUGACAGUUCUAAGCAAUGUCAGUGAUAAAAUAUUCCUCACCUUGAUGGACAACUCUCCCCAUCCUCCAUCCUUGGUAUACCACUGUUUAUCUGUACAAUUCUCUUUUUAUUCAAUGCUCUUUCAAUUCCUCUCACUACACAGGAAGAAAAUCUCUUUAAGGAGCUCUUUUUUUUUUUUUAACAUUUUUCUUUCUCUCUCUUUCUUUCUUUUUCUUUCUUUCUUUUUUUUUAACCACUUCUUAGCAUUGAUUUAUCCCUAGUAAAGAAGAAUGAUGAAUUACUUUGAGUUACUUCUUUAGUAAGAAAGGUAUGCUAUAGGAGAGAACUGGAAAGGGACCAAGGAAGCAGGGACAAUAAACAUGGAGAGACCAGAAUAUGGAAUGAGGUGUGGAAUGGGUACAGAAGGCUGGGUGGCUUGUGGGUCAAGUCCUGAACACAUGGCUUGUGGACAGGGUGUGGACAGCUCCCUGAAGGCCCAGGUUAGGUUGGGCAUGUGGUGCAUGAAAACAGACCCUGCCUGCCUCUCAGCUCAGAUUUCUCAGAUUUCCAGCACCCCGGCCCUUUCCUGGGGCUUCCCCUUGCCUCCCCUCAGGUGGAUUUCCUAAGAGUGAACCCUCUGUACUACACCUGCAGUCACACCACUCGCCAUCCUUCUCUGAGUUGGAUUUCCUCUCCACCCUGCCCUGGUGUCUAGAAUAUGAAAAGGCUUUGCCACCCUGGGGACUUGCAUAUCCUGCAUUGGUGCCUCCCUUUUGCAGGCCUGGCCCCCUUGGUGUUCAACCUUCUGCGAGCUAGCACCUGCUGCAGGGUGCAUUUGCGUGCUCCAAGGAGCCAUUCCUGUGACAAAAUAAUCUAUGCACAUUCUUUGGGGGCUGAAUGGGCUGCUCUGGAGAACAACAGAGGGGACCCCCAGAAAAAUAUGAGUGUGGUGGAGGAAGAGGCUGAAGGCAGGGUGUUAACCCUAAAGAUAGAGAUCUUUGUCCUCUCAAAUUAAAUAAGAAGUUUUGGGUUUUUGUUUGUUUGUUUGCAAAGUGAGAACCCAGUUAGUAGCAAUUAAAUUGACAACCCAAUUCAAACCAGUCCAAACUGAAGCCAUGAGGGCCAAGUUCUAGUUUCUUACAGAUUUACAAUUUGCUAAAUUUUCUCUUUGACACACACAUCAGACACAUAUUCCCUCUGGCACAUUCAGUUUCUAAUUGUUAUCCUAAGAUGAUUUAUUUAUUCUUACAGGAAGAGAAAAGAAAGGGGCAGCUUUUACCGAAGUUUGUCUUAUUUCUUUCACUCUUUCUUUUCUGAUUAUAAAAGCCACACAUGUUUACCAUAGAAAGCUUAGCACAUGAAUAUUCUAAACAGAGAUAAAUACUUCCUAUCAACCCCAUCAUUCAGAGAUGACCACUCUCCAUUUGCAGCUGUGGUUGACAUGGAAUCGUCUGGGGAGUUUUAUUGGCAAGAACUUGCUCUAUUCAGCUGAGCUUUUCCUUAAGAAGACCCCUGAGGUACCAGCCCUCUCUGAGCCUAGUGGAGGGGGACUUUCUGUUCAUGCUGAGGCCCCUUCCCAGCCUGACAGAAGCUUCUAGCUCUUCCUUAGUCAGUUCCCUGCAGGUCUGGGAACCUUGUGCUAGUUCUGUUCUCUGGCCUCUGUGCUGUCACCUGUGAAGCUGUGUCCUUUGAUUUCCUCUUGCAAUCCUCUUGUUGCUCACAGCUGGCAACCUUCAUAGUCAUUCACACUCACACACAGCAUUUCUUCAUUUAUUCACAUUAAGUCAUUUCACACUCAUUUUAAUAGUUAUUAUUCACAGUACUGUUAGUUUAUAGCACCGCACAACAUUAUAAUGUUGUAGUGAACAGUCGUCAUUUCUUUGUGCUGCUCAGCCAGCUACGCACCAUUCUGGGUUUGGGACCUCCCCACCCACCUGCCUGCUGGGUGUGCAGGCUGCUCUUCUUUCACGAUGGAAACCAAAGGGGGGAGUUCCUCUCUCCCAGCCCAAAGGCCAUGCAGGAGCCAGCCUGUGAUCUUGGUUCAGCCAAACAGGCAGUACCAUCUCACACUUUGACUCUUAAGAGAACUUUGCUAAGAAUCUGGAACAGGUCAGACUUUCCUUAUGGUGGCGGCAGAGCCUUUGAGAUUUGGCAGUCAGCCCUGUUGGUUUUGAGCACCCCUAGGCUGUGGUGGCCUAGGGCAGCACAGACACUGCCCUACCCAUAUGGGUCCUGAGGCCCUGGCUAGUCCCCACUGGCCAUCCUGGGUUUCCAUCGUGUUUCUGGGCCUUGUUCUCCAGCUUUCUGUUGAUUCUGUGAGUUAUCUGAUAUUCUUCAAAAAUAUUCCUUUUCAUUUAAUGCUAGCCAGAACUGCUUAAAGAACCCUAUACUGUUUGACUUUUGUCUUAAAGUUUGAAACGUUACUUAGUAAGUCACAACAUACUAAUUUGAAUUUCAUUUGUAACAUAACUUCUCUUUCCCUAGGCCACAUAAGUCAGGGAGAUGGAGAGAGAAACAGAGGGGACAAAAAUAUAGUCACAACAGUAUUUACCUGGCUUCAUUUCACCCUUAGCUGCAAUUGUCCGGAACUCAGGUCCUGCCUCCUAAGAUCCUCCACAAUAGCAUUUCUGCGCUUCUCACUGCCUUGUAGCCCUGUAGCCUUCUGCUUGUCUAUCUCAGAGACUGCUGGUAGUGCUGCUUUUGUAAGGGUUUUCUUCUUCCAUGGCCCAUUUGUCUGUGGGCUAUCUGGCUUGCUUGAGUCAUAUCCACUAAUCAACUAUUAAGGCUGAUUCUUCUCUUUGGAAGACCCAGAGAUUUCAGCUAUGAUUCUGGGCUACACUUUGAGCCUCAGAAAUGACCAUGUGUUUAGUGGUGACCUCACGGGCAAAUGCCGCAAUACUUUUCUGGUGCCUGUCUGCCUAAGUCUUUUCUUCUCUGUCACUCCAGUUCUGCUUGUCCCCAGGGAUAUGAUUUUCAAGUCUCAUGAUCUUAUGUCAAGUCACAUCCAAUAUGAUCUGACGGGUUGGGGAGCAGGGCAGGGUCGGAUGAUCUGGAAUGACUGCCUCCUGUGCUGGAAUAAGCGAUAAGCAGACAGGCCCCUCCGCAAGUGCUGGGAGGAACGCCAGUGCCGCAGGUAGAACACAGCAUGAAAGGGGUAUGUGGAGGACGACAGGCCCGGAGAAAUCCUGUCUCAGGCCAGAGUGGAAGGCCAGAAUGUGGACUUUUCCAAGCAAGCAGGUUUUGCAACAUCUCUAGGAACCUAGGAGCCAGCAGUGAACAGGAGUCUAGGUAGGCAGAUGGGAAGCAGCGUCCUAGACACUCAGCUAGGGUUUGGGACCAAGAAUGCAGAAAUGAAUAGCUCCGGGUUGGGGGUGGGAGGUGUGGCACAGAACUAGGACACAUCUGUAGAAAAGUAUUUUUCUCGAACCAUAUCUGUAUUUUAGGUAUUCCAAGUCUAAAUAUUCCAUGGUUAAAAAAGUUUGGAAAUUAUGGAAUUUUAAGUUCUUCUCUUGGAGAUUCAUGAUUCACAAGACUAUACAAGACGCUGAAUCCUAUGAUUACAAACAAAAAAACAAAACCAAACCUGUUUAGUAGGUAAACAGGGUUAUGUAGGCAGAAGACAUUUUCUUUUUUUAAAUUACUUUUUUCAAAUUCAUGAGCAUUUGAAGUGGCAGCCAGCUGAGUCACAAAAUUGCUUUUAAAAAAUUAUGAUUAUUUUGUAAUUAUAAAACUGCAUAUAUAAUACAUAUAAGUGGUUUCAAAAAUAUUAGAGAAACAAUACGUUAAGAAAUAGAUUAUUACCAGUCCCUAUGAAGUUCCCCUGUGUGUCCCUCCUCAUUCAAAUUUCUCUCCUCUCUCUAAAGGUAACUCCAACUUGAAUUUUACCACUUUUCUAUGUAUCCCCAAACAAUAUUGUUUAACUUCACCUUUUUCAAAUAUUAUACCAUUUGAAAUCAUUGUUUGCAACCUUCUGUGAAUUGCAUUUUUUCAUUAAAGAUAUUGAUAAAAUCAA
rnacentral:lncRNA from 1 species